UACGAAGGGGGCUAGCGUUGCUCGGAAUCACUGGGCGUAAAGGGUGCGUAGGCGGGUUUUUAAGGCAGGGGUGAAAUCCUGGAGCUCAACUCCAGAACUGCCUUUGAUACUGAAGAUCUUGAGUCCGGGAGAGGUGAGUGGAACUGCGAGUGUAGAGGUGAAAUUCGUAGAUAUUCGCAGGAACACCAGUGGCGAAGGCGGCUCACUGGCCCGGUACUGACGCUGAGGCACGAAAGCGUGGGGAGCAAACAGG
rnacentral:rRNA from 1 species